rnacentral:rRNA from 1 species
GAAUUCGAUUCGGGUGUGACAAGGCCCGGGAACGUAUUCACCGCGGCGUGCUGAUCCGCGAUUACUAGCGAUUCCAACUUCAAGCAGGCGAGUUGCAGCCUGCUAUCCGAACUGAGACCGGCUUUCUCCGAUUAGCUCCACCUUACGGUUUUGCGACGGUUUGUACCGGCCAUUGUAGCACGUGUGUAGCCCCAGACAUAAAGGCCAUGCUGACUUGACGUCAUCCCCACCUUCCUCCGGUUUAUCACCGGCAGUCUUUGCAGAGUGCCCAGCAUUACCUGAUGGCAACAGCAAACAAGGGUUGCGCUCGUUGCGGGACUUAACCCAACAUCUCACGACACGAGCUGACGACAGCCAUGCAGCACCUCUACGAGUGUCCUUGCGGAAGUUCCCUUUCGGGAAUAGUCACUCGCUCUUCAAGCCUGGGUAAGGUUCUUCGCGUUAAUCACUA